UACACACCGCCCGUCACAUCACGAAAGUGGGUUGUACUAGAAGUCGGUGGGCUAACCGCAAGGAAGCAGCCGCCCAAGGUAUAACUCAUGAUUGGGGUG
rnacentral:rRNA from 1 species